rnacentral:lncRNA from 1 species
AUGAUCUCAUCUCUGUUUCUGGUUUCUUUAGUUCAUGCUGUGAGGAGGAUGAUGAACAUUAGGAGGAUAACUGCUGAAGAGAGGAAGAGGAUGGAGGAAUCUGUCCAUUUUCUGGAUCCUCCUCACGUCAGGAGAAGACACAGUAUGGAGAGAUAUGAACAAAACAGUAAGUCUUCAUGUUUGAGAGUGUGAUUAAUUGAAUGUUUUAAAAACUUUCAAGGGAUUUAAAAGCUGGCAAGAUCAUUGGGCCUCAUUCUCGAACGCAGUUAAGAAGAAUUUAAGAAAGAAUUCCACUUCCGGUGUUUUAGGAACAAAUUUGGCAUUCAUGAAA